UCGAGCGCCCCGCAAGGGGAGCGGCGGACGGGUGAGUAACGCGUGGGAACGUGCCCCUUUCUACGGAAUAGCCUCGGGAAACUGGGAGUAAUACCGGAUAAGCCCUACGGGGGAAAGAUUUAUCGCCAAAGGAUCGGCCCGCGUUGGAUUAGGUAGUUGGUGGGGUAAUGGCCUACCAAGCCGACGAUCCAUAGCUGGUUUGAGAGGAUGAUCAGCCACACUGGGACUGAGACACGGCCCAGACUCCUACGGGAGGCAGCAGUGGGGAAUAUUGCACAAUGGGCGGAAGCCUGAUGCAGCAACGCCGCGUGAGGGAUGACGGCCUUCGGGUUGUAAACCUCUUUUAGCAGGGAAGAAGCGAAAGUGACGGUACCUGCAGAAAAAGCGCCGGCUAACUACGUGCCAGCAGCCGCGGUAAU
rnacentral:rRNA from 1 species